GCAUUCCUUCAAUCCUGUCCUCCAAGCCAGUGUCCGCAGCUCCCUCUGCCAACCUUCCCCCACCUUCCCCCCACACAAUCAUCAGGGCGGUCCUUCUCAAUUGCAGAUCCAAUCAUGUCACAUCCCUGCUCUGAAUCUGUCAGUAACUUCCCAAGGUAGAUCUCAGUCUCCAGGACACCUGCCAACAAGUUCUGCUCUGCGGGACCUCUGCCUGCUCUGGAGCCUGCUCCAUGAUUGCAGCCUCUGCGGGCUCCUUCCAGUCACCCGCUGGGUCAGGCUCUCACCUCCACACUCUGCCACCUCUGCCUGGAGCCCGCUUUCCAACUCUCCUAGACGGCAGGCAUGCCUCCUUCUCUCUGGAAGCCGUUUCUGAUGACACCAGCCCAUUGUAGGUCCCCAGAGACGAGGAUCCUGUGUCUGUCUGCCUCAGCAUCGUGCCUUCGACAGAGAGCAUGGUAGUCGUUACAUAAGUAUCUCACGGAAGAGUGAAUGCACAGCAACACACCAGGGCAUGGCGGGGAUGGAAUCAAAUGGAUCCUGCAUCUCCUCUCGUCCUGGAGCUGUGUGACCUACUUUGAUGUUUAACACAAACUCACUUUGAGUCCAGUCCUCUGGGGUCUGCAUCUCACUUCCAUCACUUAUGACCUGUGUGACCUUGGGCACAGCGGGUUAGCACUUGGAACUUUGCUUUUCUCACCUUGAGAUUGGAGUUUUUAAUGCCAGCCCCCUACUUCUGUGAGAAUUAGGCAGAGCGAGUC
ensembl:lncRNA